rnacentral:lncRNA from 1 species
CACAGCAGCUCCCUGCAGCUCCCUGGGCUACCCCGAGCUUUGGGUAAGCUCUCUGCAGUGGGAGAAGUGAGAGAAACUAAGCUGCAUCGUGCAAGGCUGGAGAUGGAGAGGAGGAAGUUGGAGCCUCCUCAGUGAACUUCAGCUUUUCUGCUAUGGGGGAACUGGUGGGAAAAGGUU